rnacentral:rRNA from 1 species
UGGGGAAUAUUGCACAAUGGGCGCAAGCCUGAUGCAGCCAUGCCGCGUGUAUGAAGAAGGCCUUCGGGUUGUAAAGUACUUUCAGCGGGGAGGAAGGGAGUAAAGUUAAUACCUUUGCUCAUUGACGUUACCCGCAGAAGAAGCACCGGCUAACUCCGUGCCAGCAGCCGCGGUAAUACGGAGGGUGCAAGCGUUAAUCGGAAUUACUGGGCGUAAAGCGCACGCAGGCGGUUUGUUAAGUCAGAUGUGAAAUCCCCGGGCUCAACCUGGGAACUGCAUCUGAUACUGGCAAGCUUGAGUCUCGUAGAGGGGGGUUAGAAUUCCAGGUGUAGCGGUGAAAUGCGUAGAGAUCUGGAGGAAUACCGGUGGCGAAGGCGGCCCCCUGGACGAAGACUGACGCUCAGGUGCGAAAGCGUGGGGGAGCAAACAGGAUUAGAUACCC